rnacentral:rRNA from 1 species
UCUACAGCCAUACCACCCUGAAUGCUCCCCGUCUCAUUUGAUCUCAGAAGCUGAGCAGGGCCAGGCCUGGUUAGUCCUUGAAUGAGAGAAUUCUCUUCUUUCUGAUUAAAGACAUAAAUUUUGCUGAUAGAA